rnacentral:rRNA from 1 species
GGUGAACGUUGGCGGUGCGUCUAAUACAUGCUAGUCGAACAAAGCCUUCGGGCUUAGUGGCGCACGGGUGCGUAACGCGUGGGAAUCUGCCCUUGGGUUCGGAAUAACUCUCCGAAAGGAGUGCUAAUACCGGAUGAUGUCGAAAGACCAAAGAUUUAUCGCCCAGGGAUGAGCCCGCGUAGGAUUAGCUAGUUGGUGAGGUAAAAGAUCACCAAGGCGACGAUCCUUAGCUGGUCUGAGAGGAUGAUCAGCCACACUGGGACUGAGACACGGCCCAGACUCCAACGGGAGGCAGCAGUGGGGAAUAUUGGACAAUGGGCGAAAGCCUGAUCCAGCAAUGCCGCGUGAGUGAUGAAGGCCUUAGGGUUGUAAAGCUCUUUUACCCGGGAUGAUAAUGACAGUACCGGGAGAAUAAGCCCCGGCUAACUCCGUGCCAGCAGCCGCAGUAA